AUCCUCCAAAUGGAGGGGACAUCCCACAACUGGGGAGAUGAUUUCCCCAGGCUGAGGGUCAUCUCUUGCACUCUGGCUAUGCUGACCCCUGCAAUCGCCACAAUUGUGGGAGUUGCUGGAUGUCUUGUGAAUAGGGAUGAUGUUCAUGUCCUCCCCUG
ensembl:snRNA U1 U1 spliceosomal RNA